rnacentral:rRNA from 1 species
AUUCGAUUUUCCGGUUGAUCCCGCCGGACCUGACUGCUAUCGGAUUGAUACUAAGCCAUGCGAGUCAUUGUAGUAAUACAAGGCAGACGGCUCAGUAACGCGUAGUCAACCUAACCUAUGGACGGGAAUAACCUCGGGAAACUGAGUAUAAUGCCCGAUAGAACAUUAUGCCUGGAAUGGUUUAUGUUCCAAAUGAUUUAUCGCCGUAGGAUGGGACUGCGGCCUAUCAGUUUGUUGGUGAGGUAAUGGCCCACCAAGACUAUUACAGGUACGGGCUCUGAGAGGAGUGGCCCGGAGAUGGGUACUGAGACACGGACCCAGGCCCUAUGGGGCGCAGCAGGCGAGAAAACUUUGCAAUGUGCGAAAGCACGACAAGGUUAAUCCGAGUGGUUUCUGCUAAAGGAACCUUUUGUCGGUCCUAGAAACACCGGUGAAUAAGGGGUGGGCAAGUUCUGGUGUCAGCCGCCACGGUAAAACCAGCACCUCAAGUGGUCAGGAUGAUUAUUGGGCCUAAAGCAUCCGUAGCCGGCUUUGUUAGUUUUCGGUUAAAUCUGUACGCUUAACGUACAGGCUGCCGGGAAUACUGCAGAGCUAGGGAGUGGGAGAGGUAGACGGUACUCGGUAGGAAGGGGUAAAAUCCUUUGAUCUAUUGAUGACCACCUGUGGCGAAGGCGGUCUACCAGAACACGUCCGACGGUGAGGGAUGAAAGCUGGGGGAGCAAACCGGAUUAGAUACCCGGGUAGUCCCAGCUGUAAACUAUGCAAACUCAGUGAUGCAUUGGCUUGUGGCCA